rnacentral:rRNA from 1 species
GACGAACGCUGGCGGCGUGCCUAAUACAUGCAAGUUGAGCGCUGAAGGUUGGUACUUGUACCAACUGGAUGAGCAGCGAACGGGUGAGUAACGCGUGGGGAAUCUGCCUUUGAGCGGGGGACAACAUUUGGAAACGAAUGCUAAUACCGCAUAAAAACUUUAAACACAAGUUUUAAGUUUGAAAGAUGCAAUUGCAUCACUCAAAGAUGAUCCCGCGUUGUAUUAGCUAGUUGGUGAGGUAAAGGCUCACCAAGGCGAUGAUACAUAGCCGACCUGAGAGGGUGGUCGGCCACAUUGGGACUGAGACACGGCCCAAACUCCUACGGGAGGCAGCAGUAGGGAAUCUUCGGCAAUGGACGAAAGUCUGACCGAGCAACGCCGCGUGAGUGAAGAAGGUUUUCGGAUCGUAAAACUCUGUUGGUAGAGAAGAACGUUGGUGAGAGUGGAAAGCUCAUUAAGUGACGGUAACUACCCAGAAAGGGACGGCUAACUACGUG